rnacentral:tRNA from 1 species
GCUCCUAUAGCUCAGUUGGUAGAGCGCGACACUAGUACCUGCUGAGUAAUCUGCAAUGUCGAGGUCUUCGGUUCAAAUCCGAAUGGGAGCA